UGCAAUUAAUUUCCUGAAGUGAC
rnacentral:siRNA from 1 species